GCCAGCAACUGGAGGUCCAAUUUAACAAGCAGGCGGAGAAGUAGGGAGAACCAAGGAGAACGAGGAGCAGAGAGGAGGUCUGCAGGGAAAGAGGAUCAGAACUACUCCAGAGAUAAGGAGAGACCUGGUGAUCAGCGCAAAGUGGAGAAAGAAGCUGAGGAGAAGAAAGAAAGCCAGCAGACAGUAGGAGCAGAAAAGACAACCAGUCACAGCUUCCGUCCUUUUCCUCCUCCUCAUUUGGGCUCAGAGGAUCGCGUGUCCUUCCUGACUCCACCCCCUUUUCCUCCUCCUCCUCCCUCGUGGAUGUUUGGUGGGAAAGAGUCUGAUGGCUCUCCUGGCACUGAUUCCACAUCCAGCAUGUUGAUGUUGUGGUACAUGUGCGGCUUCCACACGGGCAGCUUCAUGGCUCAGCAGAUGUUCAAGCCGGCCUCCAGAGACUGAGAGUCGAGAGAAUCAAGGGACAAGAUGCAGUUGGGAUGUUCAUCUUUCAUUCACAGCUCACGUUCAUUUGUAUUCUGAUUAUUGUUUGUAUUUCUACAAGUAUCUUAUUUGUUCUUAGCUGAAUGUUGUCAUGGAAACUGUGCACGUAGUGCAAUUUUUGUUGUUGUUUAUUUUUUUUGAAGCGAAUAUGAAGUGUUUGUUUCAAAGUUGCAGCUGUUGACAAAUUAAAUCAGAUUAUUUGGAGAAAAGAGUGUUUUGUUAUUAAAAAGAAAGCUGGAUUACCUCUGA